rnacentral:lncRNA from 1 species
AUGCAGCAACGACGAUUUCGGCUCUGCCGAUGAGGGAGGGAUAUGUUUUCUGCAUUUAGAGUGACAGAGUUUCAAGUAGAUUUAUGGCCGUAUGGUGGUGAUGCGCAGUGUCGAUGUCCAGCUUUAUGACGGUGCUUAAAAUGGUAUUCGCGAUUGAAAUGCGACCAGCGAGGCGGCGACUGCUAGAAGGUGGUGUAGGGUGAAACAGGACGAAGGACCCAGAGAUGACGACGCUACGAUGAAAGUAUUCCGUAUGUUUAUAUAGAGUUAUAAAACCCCCCGAUUCUUGACCAAGCCACUGCAAUGGCUGUGGACCGCAGUGUUUCGGCGAACAAGAUCGAUAAGUUGUCGACGAUCGAUCGAUGCUCUUCAUCCAAGGAGAAGCUUGCUUGUCAGCUCAGUAGGGUAACGUGUAUGUGGCCUCACUUGACAGUAUUUAACAACAAUCUACUCGCGACAGAAGCAGCCGCGUUCCUGGUUACAAGGUUGUGAAUGCCGAAUGCAACGCCAAACAGGACCUUGCGCUAUACUUCGUCAAUUAUCGUGUGUGAAGUCUACGACAAAAGGAGUUGCGGAAGAGAGCAUUCGCGGAAACGCGUGACUGCUUGCCAGUUUGUGUGGAUGCGCCUAUGACGGGAAGCUAUUGCGUGAACUGCGUGCCAGCUGAAGUCGGCGAGUUGUGGUAAUGUGCGAGUGAGUUCCCCUAAACGAUUGCCGCCGAGUGAACGCAGUGGGAGUGACAACCAAAUGUGAGCACAAAUGUUUUGGUGCGGCGAGUGUUAGCGCAGAAGAGUCUCGUUCAGCCUUCAAGCCUUGUUAAAAGACUUGGUUGGUGAAGUUGCACGGCACAAUUACACAAAUAAUGAUGGGAAUUAACAGUUACACAUCUUUAAACUAUGGCUUGUCCCACUCUCCCCUAAUUGAUUACAUACCCCCCGCGUCGUAUGUUCUUUUCGCGGGUAAACGCACGCGAGCGGGGCCUGUGAACGCGGCCGAAGCAUGGGGUUUCGGAGAUAGGGGCCUCUCCUUAAAAUUUUAGUUAAGAUUUAUCUGUGCAGUAGCAAUAAGAUAUACACAGCUUGAUUAGCACACUCUGGUCCCCGAAAUGCGUGUGACCGGCAGAAUCGCCUGCCAACUUGGUCAUGCAACAGCAAUAAUAGAAAGGCUCCCUGUUCUGGCAGCCUCCUUGUAACCGCUCCCCCUCCCCUCAAUAUGGAUGCACCCCCUGCAAAAAAUUCUCAGGAUGUCCUUGGGCUGAUUAUUGAUUUGUGGGGUUCAACGUCCCAAAACCACGAUAUGAUUAUGAGAGACGCCGUAGUGGAGGGCUCCGGAAAUUUUGACCACCUGGGGUUCUUUAACGUGCACCCAAAUCUGAGCACACGGGCCUACAACAUUUCCGCCUCCAUCGGAAAUGCAGCCGCCGCAGCCGGGAUUCGAACCCGCGCCCUGCGGGUCAGCAGCCGAGUACUGCCCUUGGGCUGAAGCGCAGAUGGAAUGAGCUGGCCCAUUUCUAUCACUGGGAGGGUGCAUGUCAUAACAUCUCAUGUAUUAGACCGGUCAAAUGCUGGAGCAGAGAAGAAAUGCCCUGUCUGUUUUUAACAAUUGUGGAAGGACGCGGGGAGGGUGGGUCUUGCUUGAGCAGCGACUGUGAACUUUGAUUCUAAGGGUACAAUGAUGAUUGCUGGAGCGUACUUUCGUGACAGUCAUGAGUAAUUAGCUUAUAUACCCUUCUAUGUGCUGCGCUCUUUAUGCGAGGAUACUGUGUGAAAACAGCAUAUCUUGCUGGAGUUGUCCACAUUAACUUACAUCAGAGCUUUUGAUAUUGGAUCCAAAAGAGUUAGCUUCCAGCCUUACUUCGUAUAAUAUGACGAUUUGUUGUACCACAUUUGUUGCUUCAACCCUUGUGGUGAAACUGUGAUUUUUUUUUUGUUCGUUUGCCACUAUCUACGAGCUUCGUCAGCAUGGCCACAUCAGCAGAAAUGGACUUUUGAAGAAGAUACAUUCAAGCGAUUAAUCUGUGUGUGCUGGCAAGGAGAGAACACCGAGAAAAAUUGAGGAACACUUCAUGGUCACUGUGCAUCUUUGGUACUAAAAAAACUGUUGCCACCUGGAGGCAUCUUUUUCAAGCAUGAAUGCCGGAACACUGGGAAGUGUCUUGCAUAGCAGCUGCUGAGUGCAUGUGCCCUAGCUUCCUAAAAGAUAAGGAAGAAUCGUCGAAGGACUCUCACAUUGGUGCCGCUACUGCAGCAAGUGUUUUUCUUCCAAAAAGCAACCCAGACAGCCACAUGCCUUUACUGGCGAGAGACUGUUCCACCAUCACUUCUACGCUAUGAACAUUGCACAAAAAUGCUGCAUUUUCUGCCGCAUACAAAACUGACCGUAUAAAAGCCAUUUCAGCGUCUCAUUUGCCCAGUGACAUUCAGCUACAUGUCAUAUAUAUGAAGCUUCAGGAUAAAGUACAUGUGCGGCAGAUCAUGCGUUUUCUGCGAGGCACUGCCACUGACAUUAUUUCUUUUUUACCAGACUUGUGAAUUUAUUGACUUUGUGCUGUUUACAACGUGUUACUCUGCGUUUUUAUGGCAAUAUGAAAAACUUAAGUUGCUCGUUUUAUUGUAGUGUUUCAAUAUUGAAAGCUCAUUAUCUGUUUACCAAAUAGCAUCAGCUUCUCUCUUCUCAGUUCAUCAUUAGUGUGCAAUUUUUUGUUCCACCAAUGCCGAUGUAGGUGAAAUGUUUUUGUUCUCCAUUGAAUGUGCUUCACGAAUCAGUGUUUUAAGUGUCUUUAAUGCAACUCUUUGUGUCCCAGCUGCCUUGGACAUAUCUAGAUUAGGGUUUAACUACUGUAUACAUAUCUGCAUAAAAUAACGGUAUUAUUUUUUUUAAGAAUGGGUUACUUAAACUCAUAAUAUCCAACAGAUUGCAUAAAGGAAAAGAAAUAACUACAUUUUAAUAAUUUACCCCAGGAGAAAUGCAGGAAGAAAAAAAAGUGUUUGCUUGCAACAACUGUUAUUUUUUUUUGCUAAGAGUAACCAGCAAAUGCUAGAGCACUUACUCUGUUUGCCUUGAGCAUGCAAGGCCUUAUUUAUUUUUCUUACAUUCUAUUGCUUGUACAUAAAGUUGUGGAUUUCCAUUAGCAGAUUUCACCCAUAGCACUUAUAAGGCACAUCAUUGACCAGUUCACCAUGAAGCAUACAAGUGCUCUCGUAAACGAAGUGCUUGUCAGACAAAAGCUCAUCGACAUCAAUGUUGCAGCCAUAUAGGUAGAUUGGUGCAGUGCCUAUAAAGGCGCAUUACUAUAUUCCUAUUUUGUGGAAACAACUGUGCGAAUUUAAUGUCUUGGAAAAGGCAAGAAAGGAUAAUGGUGGUUGAAAAUAAAAACCACACUGGGUUCGUGGAUGUCUUCUUGCAAAACUGUCCUUUUUUUUUUCACAAUUGAAAGCAUUCUUCGAUGACUGUGGUUACAACACCUAUCAGCUCGUACAUUUCAUGUGCACUGGUUGUUUAUCAGUUCGUUAGUGUAGCUGUUACACUAAACUACAUCGUCUUACAGGUGUGUCUAUACAC